GAGUUUGAUCCUGGCUCAGGAUGAACGCUAGCGGCAGGCUUAACACAUGCAAGUCGAGGGGUAGAGGAAGCUUGCUUCCUUGAGACCGGCGCACGGGUGCGUAACGCGUAUGCAACCUACCUUUUACAGAGGGAUAGCCCAGAGAAAUUUGGAUUAAUACCUCAUGGUAUAUAUCAUUCGCAUGUUUGAUAUAUUAAAGUUCCAACGGUAAAAGAUGGGCAUGCGUCCUAUUAGCUAGAUGGUAAGGUAACGGCUUACCAUGGCAACGAUAGGUAGGGGUCCUGAGAGGGAGAUCCCCCACACUGGUACUGAGACACGGACCAGACUCCUACGGGAGGCAGCAGUGAGGAAUAUUGGACAAUGGGCGCAAGCCUGAUCCAGCCAUGCCGCGUGCAGGAAGAAGCAUCUAUGGUGUGUAAACUGCUUUUGUACGGGAAGAAACACUCCUUCGUGAAGGAGCUUGACGGUACCGUAAGAAUAAGGAUCGGCUAACUCCGUGCCAGCAGCCGCGGUAAUACGGAGGAUCCAAGCGUUAUCCGGAAUCAUUGGGUUUAAAGGGUCCGUAGGCGGUUUGGUAAGUCAGUGGUGAAAGCCC
rnacentral:rRNA from 1 species